rnacentral:rRNA from 1 species
GACGUAGGGCGCGGGCGUUGUCCGGAUUUAUUGGGCGUAAAGAGCUCGUAGGCGGCUUGUCGCGUCGACCGUGAAAACUUGGGGCUCAACCCCCAAGCCUGCGGUCGAUACGGGCAGGCUCGAGUUCGGUAGGGGAGACUGGAAUUCCUGGUGUAGCGGUGAAAUGCGCAGAUAUCAGGAGGAACACCGAUGGCGAAGGCAGGUCUCUGGGCCGAUACUGACGCUGAGGAGCGAAAGCGUGGGGAGCGAACAGG